GACGUAGGAUGCAAGCGUUGUCCGGAUUUAUUGGGCGUAAAGAGUUCGUAGGUGGUUUGUUAAGUCUGAUGUUAAAGACUGGGGCUCAACCUCGGAAAUGCAUUGGAUACUGGCAGACUUGAGUGCAGUAGAGGCAAGCGGAAUUCCAGGUGUAGCGGUGGAAUGCGCAGAUAUCAGGAGGAACACCGGUGGCGAAGGCGGGUCUCUGGGCAGUAACUGACGCUGAGAAGCGAAAGCGUGGGGAGCGAACAGG
rnacentral:rRNA from 1 species